rnacentral:rRNA from 1 species
AGUGAACGCUGGCGGUAGGCCUAACACAUGCAAGUCGAACGGCAGCACAGUAAGAGCUUGCUCUUACGGGUGGCGAGUGGCGGACGGGUGAGGAAUACAUCGGAAUCUACUUUUUCGUGGGGGAUAACGUAGGGAAACUUACGCUAAUACCGCAUACGACCUACGGGUGAAAGCAGGGGAUCUUCGGACCUUGCGCGAUUGAAUGAGCCGAUGUCGGAUUAGCUAGUUGGCGGGGUAAAGGCCCACCAAGGCGACGAUCCGUAGCUGGUCUGAGAGGAUGAUCAGCACACUGGAACUGAGACACGGUCCAGACUCCUACGGGAGGCAGCAGUGGGGAAUAUUGGACAAUGGGCGCAAGCCUGAUCCAGCCAUACCGCGUGGGUGAAGAAGGCCUUCGGGUUGUAAAGCCCUUUUGUUGGGAAAGAAAAGCAGCAGGUUAAUACCCCGCUGUUCUGACGGUACCCAAAGAAUAAGCACCGGCUAACUUCGUG